UGUGUGUGUGUUCUUCCCCAAAACCCUCCAAAACCGAAAAUCAUGGGGAAAGUCAAGAAAGUCAUCUAAAAUCAUUAGUAAAUCGAAAUUCUAGUAAAACCCAUCUUAUAUCCAAUUUCAAGUGAGCUUGGGGUACUUUGUAAAAAAGAAUUUUAAGGAAAGAAUAUAAGUUGGAAGCUCUGUUAUUGCAUGUUCUAUUUUGUUGAAUCCUUCAAUGAACUGAAGAUUGAAAGCUUAUAACUUGUGUUCUUGCGGUCAUCAUGUACUUGGUUGUCGCGAAGGAGGUUGUCCCGGAAGUGGAAACAAGAGUAAGUGCUUUGAAGAUUUAUGUUGAUUUGGAAAUGUGGAAAUAUUGACUUUUGCGGUAAAAGUUGGUUUGUGGUUAGAACCCAUAGUGACUCCUUUGGACUAAUGGCUCUUGGUACAUUUGAAGUAUUUUUGGUAAAGUUUUGCCAUGUAUAUAUCUGCAUAAAGAUGGUUUGGAGUCAUUGUUUUUUUUGUACCUUGAAGUAUUGAAAAACCCUAGUUGAUGUCAACUUGGGUAAUGUGACCCGUUUGGUUGUAAAAUGAAAGUUGGAUUAAAUGAACCCUUUUGUUAUGUUUACUGUUGUG